GCAUAUCAAUAAGCGGAGGAAAAGAAAAUAACAAUGAUUCCCCUAGUAACUGCGAGUGAAGAGGGACAAGCUCAAAUUUUAAAUCUGUCGGGUUCUACCUGACCGAGUUGUAAUUUGAAGAGGCGUUUUCUGUGUUUCUGAUCAGUCCAAGUCCUUUGGGAUAAGGCAUCACGGAGGGUGAGAAUCCCGUUCGGUUGAUCAGAUUCGCUUUAUGAUACGUCAUCAAAGAGUCAAGUUGUUUGGGAUUGCAGCUUAAAAUGGGAGGUAAAUUUCUCCUAAGGCUAAAUAUUGGCGAGAGACCGAUAGCGAACAAGUACCGUGAGGGAAAGAUGAAAAGAACUUUGAAAAGAGAGUUAAACAGUACGUGAAAUUGUUGAAAGGGAAACGAUUGAAGCCAGUCGUACCGGCGGGUAAUCAGCCUUUCGGGUAUGAUUCUGUGGAGCGUGAGGAGUUAAACGCCUUCAUGCCUGCAUAUUCGUGCUCUUGGGUGUACUUGCUCGUGUGGUUGGUUAACAUCAAUUUCGGAUAUCAUAAAAUGGCUGGAGGAAUGUAGCUUCGAUUUCGAUUGAAGUGUUAUAGCCUUCGGCAGAUGUGAUGAUCGGGAUUGAGGAUUGCAACGGAUACCCUUCGGGGCUACCUGUCUGAUCUCUGAUCGUUGCUUUGGUGCCGAAAGCUUGCUUACGGUUAUCAAAGUCGAUGGUCAACAGGUUAGAACGGGUUAAAUUCGUUAAGGAUGUUGACGUA
rnacentral:rRNA from 1 species